GGCCUGGUGGUGUAAGGGUAACGCAUCCUCUCAACUUGUUAUAAUAGUCUGUGUAAUAUGAGGGAGCCCCUUGUUUGAAUCAAGGUCAGGCCA